rnacentral:lncRNA from 1 species
CUGCAGUGCACACACUUGGGAGAGAGAACAAGGGUGUCGAUUUCUAUUACGCACGUCCCUAUGACAGUGAAAGGGAUACGUACAAGCCCGACAUUAGUUUUAAUGGGGGCACCGUUUUCAAAACCAGAAGAGGGACAGAAUGUCGAGGAAGAGGAAAAGCAGGUGUCAAAAGAUACAUCGCGGAGUUUCUCAGGUAGGAUUCUCACGUGAGGAUCCUUGGCAACCCUACUGUUCUUUCCAAAAGUCUCUUAAGCAAAUUCAAAACAGCUGGAAACAACUGCAUGCCGAA